GAACGCGAAGAACCUUACCUGGGUUUGACAUGCACAGGACGUGCUAGAGAUAGGUAUUCCCUUGUGGCCUGUGUGCAGGUGGUGCAUGGCUGUCGUCAGCUCGUGUCGUGAGAUGUUGGGUUAAGUCCCGCAACGAGCGCAACCCUUAUCUUAUGUUGCCAGCGCGUAAUGGCGGGGACUCGUGAGAGACUGCCGGGGUCAACUCGGAGGAAGGUGGGGAUGACGUCAAGUCAUCAUGCCCCUUAUGUCCAGGGCUUCACACAUGCUACAAUGGCCGGUACAAAGGGCUGCGAUGCCGUGAGGUGGAGCGAAUCCUUUCAAAGCCGGUCUCAGUUCGGAUCGGGGUCUGCAACUCGACCCCGUGAAGUCGGAGUCGCUAGUAAUCGCAGAUCAGCAACGCUGCGGUGAAUACGUUCCCGGGUCUUGUACACACC
rnacentral:rRNA from 1 species